AGGGGAAUAGUUCAAUGGCAGAGCAACGGUCUCCAAAACCGUUAAUGGGGGUUCGAAUCCCUCUUCCCCUGCUA
rnacentral:tRNA from 1 species